rnacentral:lncRNA from 1 species
UUCUGAGUGGCUCUGACUUAACUCAAUAGUUCUGUGGAGCGGCAACUGUGGGUCCAUCUUACAGAUAAAGGUAUCUGAAGAGACAGCAAGGUGUGGUGUGGAUGCUACCCACCUUCCUUCCUUUGUGUAAAUGACAGCAGCACAUUGUGGGGUUCCAGCCAUUGUGACAUUGAAAGAAGCCACGAAGAGAGGAUAGAAAGUCUGUGGAGCACGCUGUCUACCUGCAGCUGUUAGAGAUCCCAUCUCUCUGGGGCUCCACAGUGACAUUCAUGUUGCAUGUCCCUCUUUAACCAGUUUAUCCAUCUUGCUUUCAUAGCCUGUGCUACAUUGUCCUCCUUCUAUAUUCAGCACAUGCUUAAUAAGCUCCUGUACUAUUCUUGGCACCCGAGGGUCACUGAUGGACAUGGGGCAGACAAGAACCUGCCCUCUGGAGCCUCCAGUUGGAUUCUGUUCAUCCACCCUGCAAUGACGGAUCUACCCAACCUGCUGAUUCAACAUGGCAGCUGCUGGUCAAUAGUUCAUUGAAAAUAAAAUUAAAUUCUUUCUGGAAAUCCACCCUGUCUGAGACCCACCA